ACUCCUACGGGAGGCAGCAGUGGGAAUCUUGCGCAAUGGGCGAAAGCCUGACGCAGCCAUGCCGCGUGAAUGAUGAAGGUCUUAGGAUUGUAAAAUUCUUUCACCGGGGACGAUAAUGACGGUACCCGGAGAAGAAGCCCCGGCUAACUUCGUGCCAGCCAGCCGCGGUAAUACGAAGGGGCGUAGCGUUGCUCGGAAUUACUGGGCGUAAAGGGAGCGUAGGCGGACAUUUAAGUCAGGGGUGAAAUCCCGGGGCUCAACCUCGGAAUUGCCUUUGAUACUGGAUGUCUUGAGUGUGAGAGAGGUAUGUGGAACUCCGAGUGUAGAGGUGAAAUUCGUAGAUAUUCGGAAGAACACCAGUGGCGAAGGCGACAUACUGGCUCAUUACUGACGCUGAGGCUCGAAAGCGUGGGGAGCAAACAGGAUUAGAUACCCU
rnacentral:rRNA from 1 species